ACCCUAAACUGAUUCCCGUGAGCUGGGAGACAAAAUGAACCUCUCCUCUUUAAGUUGCUUUUGACAGAUCACGGCAAUGAGCAAAGUAACUGACAGACCAUGUAACCCAGGCUGGCCUCAGACUUACUGUGCAGCUUCAGUGGCAGGGUUUCUCUGUGCAGUCCUUGCUGUCCUGGAGCUCGAUCUGUGUAGACCAGGUUGUCCUGGAACUCAGAGAUCUGCCUUUCUCUGCCUCCCAAGUGCUGGGAUUAAAGAUGAAUACAGCACACAUGACCUCUUCCACCCGGAGUUACAUCGAUGAAUGCCUUUGGACUUGAGUAGCCCACCUCCCACAGUUGGCACACUGCGGCUGCCAGCUGACAUGAUGCUGAUCAUUUUGAUAAUACCUACUCACUGUUUCCCCCCUCAGCUUUCCCCAAAGCACUCCCAACAUGUCUACAUCUCAAUGUCAUGCCCCAAUUUUUUUCCUUUUAAAUUACCAACGGAGUCUAAUUAGCAUGCCUCUAUGUCCAUGCACUACAACAUGAGCCUACCAGAGGCCACAGUCC
rnacentral:lncRNA from 1 species